rnacentral:lncRNA from 1 species
CUUGCUUGAAGUUUUCAUGUUCCAUUGUUCUCUUGUUUGGAUUUCUGCAAUUUUUCAAGUUCUGAAGUUUUUUUCGGGUCCCACUUGAGGGCAAAAAUGAGCUGAUCUUGGGUCUGAAGAAUAAUUCAAAGUUGGAUCCUGGGAUUUGUUGUGUGUCAAUUUGUGUUGAGUCUAGGUUUUUGCUAAUUGUUUUUCAAAUCUAAUGUUGUGCUAUCAAGCUGCUAGCUAACUGACCCUGUCUGGUUUUUUGUUCUAUCUCGUUUCAGGUACAUUAUACUCUACCCACUGUAAAACCUUUGUGAUAUGGAAGUCAGGAAGAUUUGGAGCAUGUUGGCCAUUUAUUCUCAUUAUAG